rnacentral:rRNA from 1 species
AUGGAUUUUCGAAAGCAUCAACCUUCUGCUAAUGCAACCUCUAUUAGUAUGGUCCACCUGGAUUUUCCUAGCCAAAUGCUUGAGGAUAUUGAUUCUGUGAAUCAAGUGAUGCCAGCAGAUUUUCCAUCGGAGGCUCCUAUUGAUAUUGAUAUGAGGGAACUUUACUUUCUAAUUUUGCAUUUUUUAUCACAUGGUCCAUUUAAGCGGGUCGCUGGAGAGCUGUGCAAUGAACUUCUGGAGCAUCAAUUGUUACCUAGAAGAUAUCAUGCUUGGUAUUCGCGUGGUGGUUUUCAUAGCGGCGAAGAAAAUGACGAUGGUGUAUCACUCCCUUUGGGUUACCUAAAGCUAGUUGAGAGAUACCCUCAUAUUGGUAAAGACCACUUGGUGAAGCUGUUAAAGCAACUGAUGAUGACUUCCUGCUGCCCAGACAGCUUGGUUAGAGAUGUGUCUCCAAAUGCUGCUGAUUUUCCAACACUUCUUGGCUCCAACUCCUUUUCCCUUCUUGCAUCUGAUAGGUGCAGGCAAGAUAAGGAAACCCUCAGGCUGCCGAGGUAUCUCCGGUGGUCACACAUACAUGCUGAUCAAGUUCAUGGUUUAAGUUUGAGGGAGAUUGGUGGUUUCACUAAGAAUCAUCGAGCUCCUUCUGUACGUGCAUCAUGCUAUGCCAUUGCAAAGCCAUCUACCCUUGUUGAAAAGAUGCAGAUUAUAAAGAAAUUGAGGGGACAUCAGAAUGCCGCGUAUUGUGCUACUUUUGACCGCUCAGGACGUUAUGUUAUUACUGGUUCUGAUGACCGCCUUGUCAAAAUUUGGGCGAUGGAAACAGCAUUUUGUCUGGCUAGUUGCCGAGGCCAUGAAGGUGAUAUUACUGACCUCGCUGUGAGUUCCAAUAAUGCUGUGGUAGCAUCUUCCUCCAAUGAUUUCAUUAUUAGAGUGUGGCGCAUACCUGACGGCAUGCCAAUGUCAGUGUUGAAGGGCCAUACUGGGGUUGUAACAACUAUUGCAUUUAGUCCAAGGCCAGGUGCUGCUUUCCAGCUAUUGUCAUCAUCUGAUGAUGGGACAUGCAGGAUUUGGGAUGCUAGACAUUCUCAACAAUCUCCACGAAUAUAUAUACCAAAACCUUCAGAUGUUGCCGCUGGGAAGAGUGGUGAUGCAUCUUCCAGUGCUGUUCAAGUUCAACCAACAAAUCACCAAAUCUUAUGUUGUUCAUUCAAUGCUAAUGGAACUGUGUUUGUUACUGGCAGUUCAGACACUUAUGCGAGGGUGUGGAGUGCUUGCAAGAGUUGUUCUGACGAACAUGACCAACCGAAUCAUGAGAUGGACAUAUUAUCAGGUCAUGAAAAUGAUGUAAACUACGUGCAGUUUAGUGGAUGUAUUGUAUCAAGAUCCUUUUCGUCUGACAGCAGUCACACCAGUAAGGAAGAAAAUAACCUUAAGCUAAGAAAUUCAUGGUUCACACAUAAUAUUGUUACCUGCUCCCGUGAUGGCAGCGCAAUUAUAUGGGUUCCGCGGUCUCGGAGAUCACAUGGAAAGAUUGGACGCUGGACACGCGCUUACCAUCUCAAGGUUCCUCCACCCCCAAUGGCUCCUCAACCACUUCGCGGUGGUCCACGUCAAAGAUACAAUCCAACUCCUCGUGGUGUGAAUAUGAUUGUUUGGAGUUUGGACAACCGCUUUGUGCUUGCUGCUAUCAUGGAUUGCAGAAUUUGUGUUUGGAAUGCUUCUGAUGGGAGCUUGGUGCAUUCACUGAUUGGCCAUCAGGAAUCAACAUUUGUUCUUGAUGUGCAUCCGUUCAACCCCCGUAUAGGUAUGAGUGCUGGGUAUGAUGGAAAGACAAUAAUCUGGGAUAUAUGGGAAGGAAAGCCUGUACAGAUCUACGAAACUGGCCACUAUAAGCUUGUUGACGGCAAGUUCUCUCCGGAGAAAAGUGCACUUAUCUGUCGAUGGCAGCUAGGUUUCUCUCUCUACUUGGAUGCCAGAAUUUCUGGGUGCUCGCCUUGUUCAUAA